CAGAUGUAGUUUCCAAUCUGGAUCUGGAUCUUGGGCUCCUUGUGUGUAUCCUAUGGCCCAAAGUAGUGCUCAGCAUGAAAGCAUGGGAUCAAGAGGAGGUUUCAGUUAUUUUGUUUUCAAGCAAAGGUAUGAGAAUGGACAAAUUCCAAUACUUUUAAUGCUAAGGGAAGAGUUUGCUCGGGAGCUUCUAACUUUCCUGAAGGAUCACCCAGAUCUCAUGUCACUAGUAGAAAAAACCCCUGUUGCAGCCCCCUUGUUGCAGCGUACAUGUAUAAAUACGCUUCAACAACCAGUCGGUCAACGCGGGUCAAACCCUUUAAAGGGUUAUCGCAGCGUACAUUUUAAAUGUUCGCAGCAAAUGUGUUUGUUGCAGCGUACAAAAUAAAAGCCCGCAGCAACAACCCGACUUUAUCGCAGCGUACAUGCUAUGGCCCCCUGCAACAAGUCCGCGUUUCAAACAUUUUUGCUGCAAUAACGUUAUUUCGUCAAUAGCUUUUUCACUUAACAAAAUAUCUCAAAAUUUUAUUUUCCAACGCUCUCUCAACUCCUUCUCUCCAAGCAUCUGGCCUUCGAACUCAGCCGUCGAACUCAGCCGCCGUCGAACUCAGCAGCCGUCGAACUCAGGCGUUGCUCGGCCCUGCGUCGCUGUCUUCGCCGGUGGGUCUGUGUUCUCGCCUCAUCUCCCCCAUCGCGUUCUGUUCUCGCCGUCACAGUCCCAAGUAUUUCGAUCUCUUACUCUCUCUUGCGCGAAUCUGUUUGAGGAGGUAUAGUUUUCCAACUUUUUGUGUUUGUUUUUCCCUAAUUUCGUAUUUUUAGGGUUUGCUUUCAGUCAAUUCUUGAUUUUUCCCCCAAUUUCGUAUUUUUAGGGUUUGAUUACAUAAAUUAUUCUUAUUUUUUGUGUUAAUUAAUACAUUUUUUUUUCUGUAUUGAUUGUUAGGGUUUGAUUUUUUUUUUUCCGAUUUUGAUUGUUAAUUUAACUUGGGGACAUUUAUAUGACGGUUUAUUAAUAUAAUGGGGAAUUCCUUCAUUAUUGCAUUUUAGACUUCAGAGAUUCAUAUUAAAUGUAUCAGUUUACUUGACUCCAGCUUGGUAUGAAAUGUGUGUGGAUUAUGAUUGUAUGGGACCAUUGGUGUUUAAUGUUUAUGCUUCAUGGUAAUACAUUGGGUUAUAAUGGUUUAUGUUAUUCAAGAUUAUAUUCAUUGACUGAAAUAGUUGUUGUUGUUUAGCCUUGCUUUUCAUUGAGAGAUAAGCAUGCUAUGAUUUGCUUUUCUGUUGUUGCUGCAAAUUUCCCUACCUUUUUUCUUUAAUAAUCGAAAUGUGUUGGUUAUGAAGCCUAUUACAGAUCUUAAUUACUGUUUUAUUUAUUUAUUUUUGUGCAAUUUUGGCUAAUUCUUUCAAUUGGGUUGCUAUUAUAUUUAUCAAAUGAGAAAUUAAUUGGUGUUGGAAAGUUAGCAAAUGUGUAAUUUAGUGUUGCACAGAUUCUGGUUAGUUUCUACACUUGAUACUCCGAGUAUGUAUUUUGGGUACGAUAAAACUUUGACGUCUUUAAUUAAUGUUAGAGCUUAGUAAAACUAAAAAUCAAACUAUUUUUAAUUACUUAAUUUGAGUUGGACAUAAGCUAGAUGAAUCUAUUUGGAUGGUUGGUGUUAUUGAUAUGUUCAUGAAAGGGUGCCAAGUUCCCAAAUUUCUCCAAUUGUUGUACACUACGUGUAUGCAUGAGACAUAUAAGCACUAUCAAUAUAGUCGAGUAUUAUUACAUACUACGAGUAGUCAAGUAUUAUUAUGUACUCCCUAUAUCGGUAUAUGAUGUGUGAUCAGUAUCGAGUGAAUUAAGCUAACAUAUUUGUUUACAAAACCCUCCAAAAUUAUGAGUUUAUAGGGAGUGAAACCUAAAAUCCAAAUUUAAACGCUGAAUUUUCGUGGAGCCAGUCCAUGGAAUAUGAGAUUUACAAGGCGACAAAUGCACUCAAAAGCUAUAACAAGGUAUCUACGCAUUUUUUCCGAAUUAAUAUUUAUAAUUCUUACUUUGGCCGCACUUCAGGUGGGAUUGAACUUGUGAACUCGUUAUGCAGUGAGUAAUAUAUAUCUGAUUUAAGUGUUGGGUUUUGUUUAAGGGUAUGUAUAUAUGCUUUAGUAGUAGCUUAUGGCUUGGUAGUGUGGUGAACUGUGAAAGAUCCUAGCUACUUGUUUUUAGUUGGCUUUAUAUCAGUGUGUGUUGUGUACCUUGUAGUUUGGGUAACAGAUACAAUUUCCUGCUGUCUAGAUACAGCAAACAAAUGAAUAUCACCUAGUUGUUUCAGUUCAUGGUUCAAACAUCAGAACUUCAGAAGCUGUAAAAAUGAUCAUGGACCUUCGUCUGAGGGUCAGUUGUACUCUUUUGUAUCUGCUACAUAUACUAGAUAGUUUUGUACAACUUGUCAAGUGGAUAGCGGACACUAGUCUCACCACUAGAGUUCCCUGCCAGACUCACGUAGUUACAAUAAUUAUAAACCUUGUUUAUCUUUUUAAUUUUGGCUGAUGAUUUAAUUGAAGCAAAUUUUUUUUUAGAACAACAAUUUUACUUCACAGCCAUUAAAUUUAGGAUAUGUUCAUGUUGCUAAGAGUUUUUUUGUUGAAAUGGUAGAAGACUAACAAAUUUCCUUUGUCAUCCUGUCUUUGCUAAGUGUUUUUAUUGGCUGAAUCAUAUCUUAUUAACAUUGCAAGGAGAUGUAUCUUACAAGUUUGGGAUCAUGCAGCAGCACUCCAAACAUGGAGAAGUCCUUUGUGUCGCCGUCCCAUUGCUCGUUAAUACCUACUGAGGCUUCCCAGCAACAACGCGUUAAUCCAGAAGUUGCAAAUAUUUUAGGGAGACUAGAAAUGUAUAAUCGUCGAUAUGGUGAACACUUCAGUGGUUUCAUGCAGGUCUAUACUACAGGAAUGCGCCUUAUGCUAGUGAGGAAAUUGAUGUGGUUCGUGAGCAAUGGGCUAAGUUUUUUACCAGAAAGUAUUUAUUAUUGGCCUGAGCGCGUUUGAUCGAGUUGGCUUAGAUGUUAUAGAACAAUAUUUUGUAUUAAAAUGUAUG